GAUGAAGAACGUAGCGAAAUGCGAUACGUAGUGUGAAUUGCAGAAUUCAGUGAAUCAUCGAAUCUUUGAACGCACAUUGCACCUCUCGGUAUUCCGGGAGGUAUGCCUGUUCGAGCGUCAUUUGUACCCUCAAGCUCUGCUUGGUGUUGGGUGUUUGUUCCGCCUCUGUGUGUGAACUCGCCUCAAAACAAUUGGCAGCCGGCGUACUUGUUUCGGAGCGCAGCACAUUUUGCGAUCCAGAUCAACGUACAGCGGCAUCCAAGAAGCCUUAUUUAACGCUCUUGACCUCGGAUCAGGUAGGGAUAACCGCUGAACUUAAGCAUAUCAAUAAGCGGAGGA
rnacentral:misc_RNA from 1 species